rnacentral:rRNA from 1 species
UACAGAGGGGGCAAGCGUUGUUCGGAAUUACUGGGCGUAAAGGGCGCGUAGGCGGCCUUCUAAGUCGAACGUGAAAUCCCUGGGCUCAACCCAGGAACUGCGUCCGAUACUGGAAGGCUUGAAUCCGGGAGAGGGAUGCGGAAUUCCGGGUGUAGCGGUGAAAUGCGUAGAUAUCUGGAGGAACACCGGUGGCGAAGGCGGCAUCCUGGACCGGUAUUGACGCCGAGGCGCGAAAGCCAGGGGAGCAAACGGG